rnacentral:rRNA from 1 species
GGUGGUCGAGUUUAUUGAGUCUAAAACGUUCGUAGCCGGUUCGGUAAAUCUUUGGGUAAAUCGGGGGGCGUAACCUCCCGACUUCCGAGGAGACUGCCGAACUUGGGACCGGGAGAGGCUAGAGGUACUUCUGGGGUAGGGGUAAAAAGUCCUGUAAUCCUAGAAGGACCACCGGUGGCGAAGGCGUCUAGCUAGAACGGAUCCGACGGUGAGGGACGAAGCCCUGGGUCGCAAACGGGAUUAGAUACCCCGGUAGUCCAGGGUGUAAACGCUGCAGACUUGGUGUUGGAGGCCCUUUGGGGGCAUCCAGUGCCGGAGAGAAGUUGUUAAGUCUGCUACUUGGGGAGUACGUCCGCAAGGAUGAAACUUAAAGGAAUUGGCGGGGGAGCACCGCCAACGGGAGGAGCGUGCGGUUUAAUUGGAUUCAACACCGUAAAACUCACCAGGGAAGACUGUUACAUGAAGGCCGGGCUAAAGACUCUGCCAGAUUUUCAGAGUGGAGGUGCAUGG